GAUCCUGGCUCAGAUUGAACGCUGGCGGCGUGCUUAACACAUGCAAGUCGAGCGGUAACAGGUGUAGCAAUACAUGCUGACGAGCGGCGAACGGGUGAGUAAUGCUUCGGAAUCUUCCUCGUAGUGGGGAAUAACUUGGGGAAACUCAAGCUAAUACCGCAUACGAACUACGGUUGAAAGCGGGGGCUCGCAAGACCUCGCGCUAUGAGAUGAGCCGAAGUCGGAUUAGCUAGUUGGG
rnacentral:rRNA from 1 species